rnacentral:rRNA from 1 species
GACGAACGCUGGCGGCGUGCUUAACACAUGCAAGUCGAACGAUGAAGAAGAGAAACGCGCCCUUCGGUUCAAAUUUCACUUCGGAUUAGUGGCAGACGGGUGAGUAACGCGUGAGCAACCUACCUCUUACAAAGGGAUAGCCUCGGGAAACCGUGAUUAAUACCAUAUGACACAUUCAUAAGGCAUCUUAAGAAUGUUAAAGCUACGGCGGUAAGAGAUGGGCUCGCGUCCCAUUAGCUAGUUGGUGAGGUAACGGCCCACCAAGGCGACGAUGGGUAACCGGCCUGAGAGGGUGAACGGUCACAUUGGAACUGAGACACGGUCCAAACUCCUACGGGAGGCAGCAGUGGGGAAUAUUGCACAAUGGAGGGAACUCUGAUGCAGCGACGCCGCGUGAGCGAUGAAGGAAUUCGUGUCGUAAAGCUCUGUUCUAUGGGAAGAAAAGGACUGUACCAUAGGAGAAAGCCCCGGCUAAAUACGUG